ACGAACGCUGGCGGCGUGCUUAACACAUGCAAGUCGAACGGAAAGGCCCCUUUGGGGGUACUCGAGUGGCGAACGGGUGAGUAACACGUGAGUAACCUGCCCUUGACUUCGGGAUAACUUCAGGAAACUGGGGCUAAUACCGGAUAGGAAUCCUUGCUGCAUGGUGGGGGUUGGAAAGCUUCGGCGGUUUUGGAUGGACUCGCGGCUUAUCAGCUUGUUGGUGGGGUAGUGGCUUACCAAGGCUUUGACGGGUAGCCGGCCUGAGAGGGCGACCGGCCACAUUGGGACUGAGAUACGGCCCAGACUCCUACGGGAGGCAGCAGUGGGGAAUAUUGCACAAUGGGCGGAAGCCUGAUGCAGCAACGCCGCGGGCGGGAGGACGGCCUUCGGGUUGUAAACCGCUUUCAGCAGGGGCGAAGCUUGUGGUGACGGUACCUGCAGAAGAAGCACCGGCUAACUACGUG
rnacentral:rRNA from 1 species